UGGGCACCCAGCGGAGACUGGGCAUUCUCCCUCCCUGUGGGUGCUCGCCAUCCAACCGGCUCCGGAGCCCCCACGCCCUCAGGACCGCCCACACCGGAACCCUGAGCCCCCAGCAGGGACCAGCAGGCCCGGCUGGCCCAGGACUGCCCAGAGCACCCCCUGAGCACUGCUCUGAAGUACCCCCUAAAAGGCAACUGAGGAAGGCAGAGAAGCCAGACAGCAACUAAGCCACAACGCCCCAAAGCAGAGAGAGAGGAGCACUGUAGCACUGUCAUCCCAUUGCUCAUCGAUUUGUUCAAGCGGGCACCAGUAACGUCUCCAUUGUGAGACUUGUUGUUACUGUUUUUGGCAUAUCAAAUAUGCCACGGGGAGCUUGCCAGGCUCUGAGAGAGACGGAGGAUUCGAACCCAGGUCGGCCGCGUGCAAGCGAGCAGACGCCAUUGGCCUACACUAGCACACGACAGAGACAAACGAAGACGUUACUGGCGCCUGCUCGAGCAAGUCGACGAACAACGGGACAACAGUGAUACAGUGAUAAAGCAAUUCAGGUUUCAGUGUUGCCUGGAAACAGGGAUGGAAAGUAUCAUGCUGGAAGCUACAGUUGCAGGGCAGAGAUAUUUCUGGAUUCUACCCCUCACUCCACCUAAAACCAGACAAAGACCGCCAACUGUCAGUGAAGAUGGAGUGCCCGGGGCUGGAGCGAUGGCACAGCAGGUAGGGCGUUUGCCUUGCAUGUGGCCAUCCUGGGUUCAAUCCUCGGCAUCCCAUAAAGUCCCCUGAGCACUGCCGGGGGUAAUUUCUGAGUGCAGAGCCAGAAGUAACCCCUGAGCAUUGCCAGGGUUACUUUUAGCUCCCCCCCUUCCCCUACCCCCACAAGCAUUGUUUUGUGUGGCCCCAAAACAAAACACAGAAAGAUGAUGUGACCUUAAAUUGGUAAGCACUCAAAUUCAUUCACAUUUAUAUUAACCAAAGGCUAGUCAUGCUAGCAAGUCUCACAAUGGAGACGUUACUGGUGCCCGCUCGAGCAAAUUGAUGAACAAUGGGAGGACAGUGCUACAGUAAUGCUAAAGGAAGCCAGUGACAUACAAAAUCAAGCGCUACUGGUCACGCGGUUUGAUUUUCACUGAACAAGGAACUAGACUAAGUGAACUCCCUUCCCGUCCCCAAACAGGUUCAUUUCACUUACUUAUCGGAGCAUUUCAAUGAUCCGAACAUUCUAACUACGAACACACGUAGGCUAGAACACAGACAAACUGGAGUGUGAAAAUAAACACAGUUCAACGGUCACUGUGAUGUACGCGGGGGCUCCCAGCUACCCCAGCCCAAGGGUCUGGGGGGGCUGGACUGGAUGCAAACGCUUCUGAAUACAGAUCAGGGGUCUGCUGUGGAGAGACCCGCUGCUCGGAGCACGGCACGGAAGAGGCGCAUCAGUGGCCAGCCCUCGGCCCUGACCCCGGGCAGCCGCCCAGGACAGACAUUGGCACACGGCGCCGAGGAGGGUGUGGGUGCUGUCCUGGCUGCCAGGAUGUCUCCUGGGAAACGGUCCGCCAAGAAAGAAGCGGACAGGAAGGCAACGGAAUCAAAGGCGGGAGUAGCUCGGGCUGAGGGAGACUUCGGGGGGCUGGUCCUCGGGAGGGGCUCCUUUGGGGAUGCCGAGUCCCGUGAGUCUCGGACCCUCAGGAGAGAGGCCCAGGCGAACCGUGCCUGGCACGGUGACCCUAGGUGCUGCACCCCUUCCCUCCGUGCUCUGCCUUUUCGCCCUGGGGAAACUCAUCUGGGCAGCUCCGUUUACAAACUACCGAACAGGGCCAGUAGUGGAGUGGUAAGGCGCUUGCCGGACUCAAUCCCUGUCACCACAGGCCCCUGUCACCUGAGGCGCCACCCGGAAUAAUCCCUGAGCACAGAGCAAGGAGCACAGCUGGGUGUGACCCUGAAAACGACUAACAUCGAAUGGGUGCGUAGCAUCUCGUGUGAUAGAGGAGUGGGGCGGGGAGGAAGGCCAAGGGCAGGUGAGGGCACUCUGUGUCCAGUCCCGGGCUGUCCCCAAGGCCAGGGGCAAACACAGCAGCUCCACGCCGGCGUGUUCCCAUCCUGCACACGCCGCCAGGGCCAGGGCCCCUUAGCCGGGGCCUGCCGCCCUCCCGCAGCUCACACCAACGUGACGGGAUUGACUGUUAGACGCCAAGUUAUCCCCAAGUUAUUCCCCGAGAACCUGACUGCUGCCUGCCGGUGAAAACGCCCAUCUCAGCUCACCCCUUCCCCAGAGACGCCCCACUGAACCCCUCCUGGGGCGCCCUGGCAGGGCCACUGGCCCUGAUGGAGCGCAAUCUGCACCCGGUCUCCCCAGCCAUCCACGCAUACCCCCACUGCGAAGCACGGAUCACGCUUGGGACGCCAGCACCCGGCUCUCGCCCUUCCCCACUCAGCCCCCAGCCCCGUCAGUCACUGGCCAAGAGCAAGCAGUGGGGUUGACUUUCACGCCCUACCCUGGACCGAGCAGCCGAGGACGCCAAGCAAUUCUCUCAUUCACCUUCAUACCCAUUCAACUCAUGUCGAAGAAGUCCUCCAAGGAAAAAAAAUUCUAAUUACCAGCCCCCCCAAGCCCCCCUAAUCAGCAUUACAGGAAAUUCUAUAGCAUUUCUUCACUACAGACUCACAAAGUUAUCCAGUAAUUGUUCUUGGGAAGUUCCUGACCGAGACCUUCACCGCUGAGAAGCUAAGGGUGCACUCUCCUCAAGAACACAGCUCCGAGGGUCUGAGAGGUGGUGCAGUGGGUAGGGCGCUUGCCCUGCAUGCGGCUGAUGGGCUUCACUGCAUAUGAUGCCCCAAAGCCCCUGAGUACUGAGUACUGUGGGCCUCCAAACAAACAGAAACCCCCAAGAGCUUGGAGUCUUCCUUCUACCCCAUCACACUGACAUCUUGGGAUGAGUUUAAAGCCAGGAAUUUUUUAGUGCCCCACUUGGGAACCACAAACAUGAGAAGGUGAUUGAUCUGAAAGCUCUAAAUGGAAGCCAGAAUCCGGCAUCACAAAGCACUGACCGGGCUGGAGCGAUAGCACAGCGGGUAGGGCGUUUGUCUUGCACAUGGCUGACCCGGGUUCGAUUCCCAGCAUCCCAUAUGGUCCCUGAGCACCGCCAGGGGUAAUUCCUGAGUGAAGAGCCAAGAGUAACCCCUGAGCAUCACCGGGUGUGAGCCAAAGAGAGAAAAAAGCAAGCAAGCAAGCAAGCAAGCAAGCACUGACCAGCAAAGCAAUCACCUUCCUGUCUGUGAUGAACUUUUGGAAUUCAACUACACACGUGCCAGGGACGAGCAGGACCAGACCCCAACAGAGCUGCUGUUUCAUGAGUCUUUAAACGUGCCAAAUAGGCACAACAUACGACUGAACUUUUUGAGGGAGGUGGGAGCCUCCAGACAGCGCUAAGGGGGCCUCAAGCAAUUCUUAGCCAGCCGGGCCAGCGGUUUGGUGUGGGGACCUGAGGUUGGGGCCAGGCCUGGCCACACAGAAGGCACGUGCCUUCACUGCUGGACUCUCUCUGCCCCCAAAGCUGAACAUCUUGAUGGACUGUAUUUUUACAUCACGAAAAAUGUUGAAAUAAUGGAAAGUAUCAUGUUAAGGGAAAUGAGUCGGAGAGAGAGGGAGAGAUAUAGAAGAUUGCACUCAUCUGUGGAAUAUAAAGUAAGAGAAUGGGAGAAUAACACCCAAGAAUAGUAGAGAUAAGUACCAGGAGGUUUGCUUCAUGGCUUGGAAGCCGGCCUCACAUGCUGGGGGAAAGGCAGCUCAGAUAGAGAAGGGACCACCAAGUAAAGGGUGGUUGGAGGACCAGCUCGGGUUGAGAGAUGCGAGUCCAACGUAGACUAUAGAUUGGACACAAUG